CCUUGAAAUACCACCCUUUAAUGUUUGAUGUUCUAACGUUGGCCCCUGAUCGGGGUUGCGGACAGUGUCUGGUGGGUAGUUUGACUGGGGCGGUCUCCUCCUAAAGAGUAACGGAGGAGCACGAAGGUUGGCUAAUCCUGGUCGGACAUCAGGAGGUUAGUGCAAUGGCAUAAGCCAGCUUGACUGCGAGCGUGACGGCGCGAGCAGGUGCGAAAGCAGGUCAUAGUGAUCCGGUGGUUCUGAAUGGAAGGGCCAUCGCUCAACGGAUAAAAGGUACUCCGGGGAUAACAGGCUGAUACCGCCCAAGAGUUCAUAUCGACGGCGGUGUUUGGCACCUCGAUGUCGGCUCAUCACAUCCUGGGGCUGAAGUAGGUCCCAAGGGUAUGGCUGUUCGCCAUUUAAAGUGGUACGCGAGCUGGGUUUAGAACGUCGUGAGACAGUUCGGUCCCUAUCUGCCGUGGGCGCUGGAGAACUGAGGGGGGCUGCUCCUAGUACGAGAGGACCGGAGUGGACGCAUCACUGGUGUUCGGGUUGUCAUGCCAAUGGCACUGCCCGGUAGCUAAAUGCGGAAGAGAUAAGUGCUGAAAGCAUCUAAGCACGAAACUUGCCCCGAGAUGAGUUCUCCCUGAGACUUUAAGUCUCCUGAAGGAACGUUGAAGACGACGACGUUGAUA
rnacentral:rRNA from 1 species